GGCCUGUUGGUCUAGGGGUAUGAUUCUCGCUUCGGGUGCGAGAGGUCCCGGGUUCAAAUCCCGGACAGGCCC
rfam:Dendroctonus ponderosae Seq01013721, whole genome shotgun sequence.